GCUGCCGCUGUCCUGCCACCCAUCCCCUGUGGCCCUGGUAACACUUUGUGGGCCACCUUGAGAACCACUGGUUUAAAACAUGUGUUUAAGUACUGACCUGAACUGGGAUGGACUUUAUUUCCUGAAUCAGGGCCUAAGAUGACAAGUAGCAUACCUGGAGGAGGGGUGAAGGACAGAGUCCAUCAUACACAAUUUUUAAAUGUACAUACACAUUUGCAGUUCUUUUUUAUGAUCAUAAAUAGGUAAAGAGAUAAGAGAUCCACAGGACAACAUGUUUUCAUUUACAAGAUUUAGAAAUGUGAGCAAUAUGGAACAUGAGAGAGAGAAGAAGCCAUUUGUUCCACUACAGUUUGUCCAGAAGCAGCAUCAGUGACUUGGAAAGCACAGAAUAAGGAAAUGUUUUCUCCAUGACAUACUGUAGGCUGGCUACACUCAAUGUUCUUCUUCAGCAGCUGGGGUUGAUAAGCACUGUCAGCAUUCUGAGACUCUUUCUGGAAUAUUGUUGUCAAGGAUGAAUUUGAAGCAAUCAGAUAGAGACAAACACCAAUAUGCCAGAAUAAUUCAAUCACGCUGAAGAGACUCCUGCACAACUUGAUUGGGUCCUGGCUUGGAGGCAGAGCGGAGGAGCGUGGCGGCUAUUGGGGCCUGAAGUGCUUCCUCGAAGUGGACGAAGCAUAGAGGCCCAGGGACCUGAGAGUAACCCUUGAGUCCUUAAGGCCGUGUAGUCUCAUGUCUGUCUGCUCUGAAAAUAGCGAGGAGCCUUCGAAAGGGAAGUCCUGGAUAGACUGCUGGACCUCCUGAGGGAAUCCCAAGGACUGCAGCUAACAGCAUCAUCUCAUGGUGACAGUGGAGGCCACCAUGUCUGUUGAGUCCAGUGCUGCCUGUAGAGAGUCUCUGGCAACAUUCUUUCCUGCUACUAAGAGGGCUGAGAAUUCCUGCCUUAAGUCUUGGGGCCUGGAGUCCUUCAAUUUGGACAAGGAGUCCCACAAACGGUAGUUGUAGCUCCCCAGUGAGGCUUGCUGGUUUGAGAUAAGUAGCUGUAGACCACUAUCAAAUAAACUUGCCUCCCAAACAGAACAAGUUUCUUUGCAUCCUUCUGUUUGGGGGUGCUUGACUGACACUCUGUCCCUUUCAUUAGCCACCGAUACACGCAGGACCCCGGAGGAUGGUGAGAGUACAGAUACUCAUACCCACUGGUUUGCACAUAUUUCUUCUCUGCCCUCUUCAAAGUAGGAGGCAGAGAAGAUGGGGUCAGCCAGGGCUCUGAUCCGACCCAUUACCGCCUCAUUAAUGGGUCAGGCCACUUUAGAUGGAGCUGUUGCAGCCAGAACGUCAAUGGGGCUGUGAAAUGAUUCUUUGAGCUCCUCAAUCUAAAGCCCCAGGUUAGUUGUAUCUGCUGUAUCUCUCGAUAAGCCCUAAAGUCAUCUUGGGGAAACAAGCUGCUCGGCCCCGAGACAGUCUGAGGAGGAGGAGGAGGAGUUCUGUACUGGAGGAGGGGCUUCUUCCUCUUCUUCAGCCUCAAUAACCUUCAUAGGUGCCACGUCCUGUAAAUCAGUAGCAGGGUUGGUACUGGAGUUGGGGUCCGGUGCUGAUCGUGGCAGAGCGGGAGCCUGCCUCUUGGAAGCAACCAAGUAUGAACAGUGGGAGGGUGGACCUGGUUCCAGGGGGAAACCCCCAAGGGUUCCAGAAUGGCUAUUGCAAAGGCCACUGUCCUCCUGGCCAGGUACCAGCGGGGGGAGCCACACCAAGGUCCAGUGUCAUGUAGGAUGGGUACCAGUGACCCUUAGGUUGAACACAGGGCUCCGCGUCAGACUCAGAUGAAGAAUCCUCCCUAGGUGACCACAGAAGAGCGGUACCUCUCACUGCCUCUGAUCAUUGCUGAGGGUCCUGUGACGGAUAGUGGGCCAGGGACGACCUCACAGAGGACAGAAGAGUCGGCUUGCCACUAGAAGGAGCUGGUAGGCCCGGUGCCAGGAAGGAGCUCAGGGCACCAUGCUCUCUCCUGCUCAAGGAUGACGAAGCCGGUGGCUGACCUAUCAGGGUCAGUGGGACUGGGAGUGACAACAAGUGUCUGGCCAUUGCAAAGGCC